UGGGGAAUAUUGGACAAUGGGCGAAAGCCUGAUCCAGCCAUGCCGCGUGUGUGAAGAAGGUCUUCGGAUUGUAAAGCACUUUAAGUUGGGUGGAAGGGCAGUAAGCGAAUACCUUGCUGUUUUGACGUUACCACAGAAUUAGCACCGGCUAACUCUGUGUCAGCAGCCGCGGUAAUACAGAGGGUGCAAGCCUUUAUCGGAAUUACUGGGCGUAAAGCGCGCGUAGGUGGUUCGUUAAGUUGAAUGUGAAAGCCCCGGGCUCAACCUGGGAACUGCAUACAAAACUGGCGAGCUAGAGUAGGGCAGAGGGUGGUGGAAUUUCCUGUGUAGCGGUGAAAUGCGUAGAUAUAGGAAGGAACACCAGUGGCGAAGGCGAGCACCUGGGCUCAUACUGACACUGAGGUGCGAAAGCGUGGGGAGCAAACAGG
rnacentral:rRNA from 1 species